GACUGUUUAAAAUGUUCUUGUAAAUGAAUUUGUGUAAAUAUAGUUUUUCAAAGCCAAUCUUUAGUCCUGUUUCAUACUAGCGCUAACUAAUAGAAAAUUCCUUACAUUCUCUGUCAUUUAAUACUUUUAUUACAGCAUAGUAAACAAAAAUGUUUGUUUGUAAGUUAUCUUAUUUUUUGUUGGCUGUACUAAUAUUUGAAUGUUAUAUUAGUGUGUGUGUGGGAUACUGAAUAUUCAAUGCUGAUUUUACCUUUUUAGCUUAUGUAUAAAAACAUGGAUUUUUAAUUAUACUUCUUUGUAAAGAUGCUGUGAAUGAAUUUUAUUUUCAAAAAUAUUUGGAGUCUUUUAAAAAAUGUAGCAAUCUCUUUUGCAUUAAAUUUUUUUGAAUAUGAACCAGUUUUUUUUUUUUUUUAAUGUAAGAACAGAAAUGUCUGAAAUGAUUUUGUAAGGAGUCUUGUCAUCAGGUAGAUGUGAAUUCUUUAGCUAAUUCACUUUCUUCUCUAAACAAAUAAAAUAUAAAAGUGAUUACAAAAGUGUGUAUGAAAAGAA